CGGACGGGUGAGUAAUGCCUAGGAAUCUGCCUGGUAGUGGGGGACAACGUUUCGAAAGGAACGCUAAUACCGCAUACGUCCUACGGGAGAAAGCAGGGACCUUCGGGCCUUGCGCUAUCAGAUGAGCCUAGGUCGGAUUAGCUAGUUGGUGAGGUAAUGGCUCACCAAGGCGACGAUCCGUAACUGGUCUGAGAGGAUGAUCAGUCACACUGGAACUGAGACACGGUCCAGACUCCUACGGGAGGCAGCAGAU
rnacentral:rRNA from 1 species